GAACGUGAUCCAGGCUUCGGUCUGGUGAAAGUGGCAAACGGGUGAGUAACGCGUGGGAACCUGCCCAGAGGUAGGGAAUAACCGCGGGAAACUGCGGCUAAUACCCUAUGUGCCCUACGGGGCAAAGAUUUAUCGCCUUUGGAGGGGCCCGCGUCGGAUUAGGUAGUUGGUGAGGUAACGGCUCACCAAGCCUUCGAUCCGUAGCUGGUCUGAGAGGAUGAUCAGCCACACUGGGACUGAGAUACGGCCCAGACUCCUACGGGAGGCAGCAGUGGGGAAUAUUGGACAAUGGGGGCAACCCUGAUCCAGCAAUGCCGCGUGAGUGAUGAAGGCCUUCGGGUUGUAAAGCUCUUUCGGCGGGGAAGAUGAUGACGGUACCCGCAGAAGAAGCCCCGGCUAACUUCGUG
rnacentral:rRNA from 1 species